rnacentral:rRNA from 1 species
UACGUAGGGAGCAAGCGUUGUCCGGAAUCAUUGGGCGUAAAGCGCGCGUAGGUGGCUUCGUAAGUCCGUUGUGAAAGUCAAAGGCUCAACCUUUGAAAGCCGAUGGAUACUGUGGAGCUAGAGUACGGAAGAGGCGAGUGGAAUUCCUGGUGUAGCGGUGGAAUGCGCAGAUAUCAGGAGGAACACCAAUAGCGAAGGCAGCUCGCUGGGACGUUACUGACACUAAGGCGCGAAAGCGUGGGGAGCGAACGAGG